AGCGAACGCUGGCGGCAGGCCUAACACAUGCAAGUCGAACGAACCCUUCGGGGUUAGUGGCGGACGGGUGAGUAACACGUGGGAACGUGCCUUUAGGUUCGGAAUAACUCAGGGAAACUUGUGCUAAUACCGAAUGUGCCCCUCGGGGGAAAGAUUUAUCGCCUUUAGAGCGGCCCGCGUCUGAUUAGCUAGUUGGUGAGGUAAUGGCUCACCAAGGCUACGAUCAGUAGCUGGUCUGAGAGGAUGACCAGCCACAUUGGGACUGAGACACGGCCCAAACUCCUACGGGAGGCAGCAGUGGGGAAUCUUGCGCAAUGGGCGAAAGCCUGACGCAGCCAUGCCGCGUGGAUGAUGAAGGUCUUAGGAUUGUAAAAUCCUUUCACCUGUGAAGAUAAUGACUGUAGCCGGAGAAGAAGCCCCGGCUAACUUCGUGCCAGCCGCCGCGGUAAGAC
rnacentral:rRNA from 1 species